rnacentral:lncRNA from 1 species
AAUAUAAAAUCAUGUCAUCUGCAAACAGAGACAAUUUGACUUCCUUUCUUCCUAUUUGAAUACCCUUUAUUUCUUUCCCUUGCCUGGUUGCCCUGGCCAGAACUUCCAAUACUACAUUGAAUAGGAGUGGUAAGAGAGGGUAUCCUUGUCUUGUGCCAGUUUUCAAAGGGAAUGCGUGUUAUUCAGCUCCAUCAGGUCAUUUAUGUUCCUGUCUAAACUGGUUAUUCUAGUUAGCAGCUCCUCUAACAUUUUAUCAUGUUUCUUAACUUCUUUGCAUUGAGUUGGAACAUGCUCUUUUAGCUCAGCAUAGUUUUCUGUUACCCAUCUUUUGAAGGCUACUUCUGUCAAUUCAUCCAUGUCAUCCUUCAUCCAGUUCUGCACACUUGCUGGUGAGAUGUUGCAAUAAUUUGGAGAAGAGUCACUCUGGCCUUUUAGAUUUUCAGUGUUUUUUCAUUGAUUCUGUCUCAUCUUCGUGAAUUUCUCUACUUUUGAUCUUUGAGGCUGCUAACC